ensembl:lncRNA
GCAUAUGGUUGUUUUAACUGAUCACCCAAGUUGAUUAGACUGCCGUGUCCCAUGAAAAAAGAGGAUGCUCAGAAAGCCAGUGACUGGAUAAUAAUUUGAGGAUAAUACUCAAAUUUCUAGUAGUGCUAGUCAGUUGAACCUAAAAAUGCCAUUAACCCUUUCUCAAAGAAGCAGAUUGGAGGUGAGUAGCAGUUGUGUGGCUUCUUGGUAUGCAGCUGUUCACUUUCAAAACUUAAUUUAAAACAAUAAAAAAUGUACCUCGAAAUCAUUUUGUUUCCCUAUUUAUUUAAUGUGAUUUAUUCUAAAUGCAUUUCAUAUCACCAUAAUGUAUCAGAGCUCAACCACCACCUGUUAUUUUGUAGGGGAAAUAAACAAGACCUCUCUCAUCAGAUGAGUUAAUUACACUGACAUAUUCACUCCUCCCCAGAGAUACCAUAAACUAAAAUGCUGCAGAGCUUUAAUUCAAACAAGCAGGCUGGAAACAAGAGCUAUUGCAGUGGUAUAAUUUUCUUUGGGAGAAUCAAAAGCUCAACACAGACUUGAACUUAGAGGGCAAGAUAGCUGGAGUUGAUCAAAUGGAGUCUCGUUUAGGGUCGCAUAAUAAAUCUGUAGGUGAGUUGAGCUUGAACCCAUUUCUCAAUAUUUUGGCACUGUUUUCCAACCUUUGUGCUUCCGAACAUCAUGUGGUCAUUUUUAAAAACUUGUUUCAUCUAGCAGUUUCUCUCUCCUCUCAGGUAUUUGUCUGGGGAUGGCUGUGCAUACAGAACACCAUUAGCUCCAUGAAGAAUAUGACAGAGGUACCUGGUCCUACCUGGAUUCUUGGGCAUGCGGGAAGCAGCAGCAGUAGCCACAGUGAACUUCAUCCUAAGGAACUGUUAUGCAGACGUUGCAUGAGUCUCUUGUGGGGGUGCCAGCAGCAAAACCAAGCCUUUGUGCCUAUCUGUGGUUGUGACCCGUUGGAGAGACAUUGGGAGAUGAGAUACUGUGCUCACUCCUCACGGCUGAACCAAGGACCUGAGAUAUUCCAUUGCUAUCCUGUGAGUAAGUAAAUUUAAUACGUAGAAAGAACUGAGAACCAUAUUUUCUAAAAAGCACAAAGAGCAUGAUAUAGUCUUCAGGACUUUGUCAGGUUAUAGAGAAAUCAAACUGUUUUAUCUUACACCAAAGAGGGACACUGACUGCCUUGCUUAACCAAGCUAUGGAAGGCUGGGCUGGUUUUAGAUGUAAAUGGAUCUAGAGCUUUGGCCCAGUCUGACACUCACUGUGAGAGUCUUACCCUGUUUCUCUGACUGGCCUUGACUUCAGACCCAGAGCCAUCCCUGGACUCAUCGCUGUGGCCAAGGGAAAUGGCGGGACUACUGGUUCAGAUAGUGCCCACUCAAGUGGUCAGGAAGCGGGCAGGAGUGCUAUGACCAUCUCUCAUCACGGUGAGAUGGGAGAGUGGAGGAGGAGCCAUUUGCCCCAGAAAGGAGUAACUAUUCUGGACAGAAUGUAUAUGGCAAAGCCAUGGUUCUUCUACACCUUUGCAGAAAUGUAAACCUGAAUGUGGACAGGCAGAACAGUGAGUGUCAGGAAAUAGGCUUCAGUUUGAGAAAAUCUGUGGUUUAUUAGAAGCUGACAUCAGGUGAGUGCUGAUGCUUAAACCUCAAUAGCAAAUUUUGGGAACCCAGAGAAAGUAAGGUCAAAUCAGUAGAAUUCUGCUUUCCUGAGAGACACAGGGACUAAUCCAAUGAGUGAUGUUGAUAUAUUAGGAUUUUGGAGAUUCCCACC